UACAGAGGGUGCAAGCGUUAAUCGGAAUUACUGGGCGUAAAGGGCGCGUAGGCGGUUAUAUAAGUUAUGAGUGAAAUCUCUGGGCUUAACCUGGGAACUGCUCAUAAUACUGUAUAGCUAGAGUAGAGUAGAGGAAAGUGGAAUUUCCGGUGUAGCGGUGAAAAUGCGUAGAUAUCGGAAGGAACACCAGUGGCGAAGGCGGCUUUCUGGACUCAUACUGACGCUGAGGCGCGAAAGCGUGGGGGAGCAAACAGG
rnacentral:rRNA from 1 species